rnacentral:ncRNA from 2 species
GUAUAAUGACGGGGUUUUGGUGCCCGCGCGUCUGUCCAGAUGCGCAGUUAAACGGGAAACACGAAGCUCUCGGCUCAAGCAGCCAAGGCCCACGUGUGCUGCCCCCGCAACGGUAAGCAAGUGUCGCAACGCAUGCGCGACAAACCACCUCUGACAACCACUGUGCUCCGCAUGGGAAGGUGAGGCGGUUUAACUUGCCAGCCCGGAUACCGGCCAAAUCAGGUGGAAGCGA